rnacentral:tRNA from 2 species
GGGCUUGUGAGGUAGCCAGGAUAUCCUGUCAGUCUUCGGAACUGAGAACCCGGGUUCGAAUCCCGGCAGGCCCU